CCCGAGCAACCCCUGUCGCGACCCCCACUGGCUGCAGAGGGACAGCAGCGGUGCGGGAGGAGGCCAGGGUCCAGCGGGGUCGGGGACCCGCCCGGGAGAGGCCUCGGCCGAGGGAGUGUUAGAGCCGCUGUUCCCUGUCUCAGUCCGUUGGUCCUGGUGCAGCAAUAUCCAUCCCGUGAGCCCGCUUGGAACCUGUGCCCGACGCUUCCCAGUUCCUUCUUGCAGACUCUUAAACUGCACGGUCUGUUGUGGCAUCAAGAAGGCUGCUCGAGAUGAGGUCAAGAGAGUAGCUGCUAAUGAUGAACUGAACUUUUGGAAGGAUUGUCCAUUACAACUGCCUGAUAUUUCAACUACAGAAACCCACUCCUCCAGAAUGACACCAUCAGCCACUUUAAGAACAUUGCUCUUGGAGAAUGUCCUCAAGUGUUCAGUAUUGUCUAGCUGUUUCUGAAGUUUUUAUCCACCCAGAAGCUAGUUGAAGAAACUAAACCCCGACAUUGAAAAUUCCUCACUUGAGCUACUAUACAUAAUUUCAUGCUGGUCCCCUGGCUGUGCUGCAAGGGAAUGGCUCCAGGGCAGGGAAUGGCUUCCUUAUGCCUGCUGCUGUCCCCAAGACUUAUGCCUGGCCAGGGACUGAGUGAGUACACAUGAAGUGCAUCUUGACCUCAUUCUUCCACAGUUUCUACUGUGUGGCAGACACUGUUCUAGGGAUCAGGGAACAAAACAGACAAAACUAUUAC
ensembl:lncRNA